rnacentral:pre_miRNA from 1 species
AGUUGAGGGGAAUGUCGUCUGGUUCGAGAUCCUUCACAACCGUGGAGCUUAAGCAUAGUCUGAAUGAUUUCGGACCAGGCUUCAUUCCCCUCAACU